rnacentral:lncRNA from 1 species
GGGCUGGGGAUCGUCCUCAGCGACAAUUAUUUGAUUAGUUCAAUGGAUGUUUUGUGCACGAAAUGUGAUGACUAAAAAGUGUCUUAUUAGGAAUUUUUUUAAUCUGACUUCUCAAUGUGGCCGUUUAUGGAAAUUGUCUUUCUAGGCCGGGCGUCAAUAAAAACUGUAGUACCGAAGCAAAACUGUAGGAGCGGUCAAAACCAUGCUUCUAGACUGGAACCCUGGCCCCUUGGCUGCCACCGAGUGGAGUGUCCGGGCGGAAUAGGGUCCUUGGAUAGUAUCCAGGAGGAAUAGCGUCCUUGGGUAGUAUCCAGGAGGAAUAGCGUCCUUGGCUAGUAUCCGGGCGGAAUAGGGUCCUUGGCUAGUAUCCGGGCGGAAUAGGGUCCUUGGCUAGUAUCCAGGAGUAAUAGGGUCCUUGGCUAGUAUCCAGGAGGAAUAGGGUCCUUGGCUAGUAUCCGGGAGGAAUAGGGUCCUUGGCUAGUAUCUGGACGGAAUAGGGUCCUUGGCUAGUAUCCAGGAGGAAUAGGGUCCUUGGCUAGUAUCCGGGCGGAAUAGGGUCCUUGGCUAGUAUCCAGGAGGAAUAGGGUCCUUGGCUAGUAUCCGGGAGGAAUAGGGUCCUUGGCUAGUAUCCGGGCGGAAUAGGGUCCUUGGCUAGUAUCCGGGAGGAAUAGGGUCCUUGGCUAGUAUCCGGGCGGAAUAGGGUCCUUGGCUAGUAUCCGGGCGGAAUAGGGUCCUUGGCUAGUAUCCGGGAGGAAUAGGGUCCUUGGCUAGUAUCCAGGAGGAAUAGUGUCCUUGGCUAGUAUCCGGGAGGAAUAGGGUUUUUGGCUAGUAUCCAGGAGGAAUAGGGUCCUUGGCUAGUAUCCGGGCGGAAUAGGGUCCUUGGCUAGUAUCCGGGCGGAAUAGGGUCCUUGGCUAGUAUCCGGGCGGAAUAGGGUCCUUGGCUAGUAUCCGGGCGGAAUAGGGUCCUUGGCUAGUAUCCGGGCGGAAUAGGGUCCUUGGCUAGUAUCAGGGCGGAAUAGGGUCCUUGGCUAGUAUCCGGGCGGAAUAGGGUCCUUGGCUAGUAUCAGGGCGGAAUAGGGUCCUUGGCUAGUAUCCGGGCGGAAUAGGGUCCUUGGCUAGUAUCCAGGAGGAAUAGGGUCCUUGGCUAGUAUCCGGGCGGAAUAGGGUCCUUGGCUAGUAUCUGGGCGGAAUAGGGUCCUUGGCUAGUAUCCAG